rnacentral:rRNA from 1 species
CAGUCGCCGCGGGAACACGUAGGGUGCGAGCGUUGUCCGGAAUUACUGGGCGUAAAGAGCUCGUAGGUGGUCUGUCGCGUCAUUUGUGAAAGCCCGGGGCUUAACUCCGGGUUGGCAGGUGAUACGGGCAUGACUGGAGUACUGUAGGGGAGACUGGAAUUCCUGGUGUAGCGGUGAAAUGCGCAGAUAUCAGGAGGAACACCGGUGGCGAAGGCGGGUCUCUGGGCAGUAACUGACGCUGAGGAGCGAAAGCAUGGGUAGCGAACAGGAUUAGAUACCCCCGUAGUCCCUGUCUCUUAUA